rnacentral:rRNA from 1 species
CCUACGGGAGGCAGCAGUGGGGAAUUGUUCGCAAUGGGCGCAAGCCUGACGACGCAACGCCGCGUGGAGGAUGAAGAUCUUCGGGUCGUAAACUCCUUUCGAUCGGGAAGAACGGCUUCCGGGUGAAUAACCCGGGAGAGUGACGGUACCGAGAGAAGAAGCCCCGGCUAACUCCGUGCCAGCAGCCGCGGUAAUACGGGGGGGGCAAGCGUUGUUCGGAAUUACUGGGCGUAAAGGGCUCGUAGGCGGCCAACUAAGUCGGAUGUGAAAUCCCCAAGCUUAACUUGGGAACUGCAUCCGAUACUGGAUGGCUUGAAUCCGGGAGAGGGAUGCAGAAUUCCAGGUGUAGCGGUGAAAUGCGUAGAUAUCUGGAGGAAUACCGGUGGCGAAGGCGGCAUCCUGGACCGGCAUUGACGCUGAUGAGCGAAAGCUAGGGGAGC